rnacentral:rRNA from 1 species
GUAGGGAAUAUUGGGCAAUGGUCGGAAGACUGACCCAGCCAUGCCGCGUGCAGGAAGACGGCCCUCUGGGUUGUAAACUGCUUUUAUCUGGGAAGAAAAAGGCCAUGCGUGGCAAAUUGCCGGUACCAGAUGAAUAAGCACCGGCUAACUCCGUGCCAGCAGCCGCGGUAAUACGGAGGGUGCAAGCGUUGUCAGGAUUUAUUGGGUUUAAAGGGUGCGUAGGCGGCUGAUUAAGUCAGCGGUGAAAGACUCCGGCUUAACCGGAGCAGUGCCGUUGAUACUGGUUAGCUUGAGUGUUGGAGGGGUACAUGGAAUUGAUGGUGUAGCGGUGAAAUGCAUAGAUACCAUCAGGAACACCGAUAGCGAAGGCAUUGUACUGGCCAACAACUGACGCUGAUGCACGAAAGUGUGGGGAUCGAACAGGAUUAGAUACCCUGGUAGUCC